CUCUUCUAUAUGUUUGUAAAUUACUAAAUUGUAUAUAUCAAAUUACUUUAAUCUCCUCAACUAUCCUGAUAAUGAGUAAAACGUAGUCGAAAACUAGAAUAUAUUAAAAACGGAGUUACGGUUGCUUUGUACAUACCUGACUGAUCAAGUACAACUACAGGCGCAUCGUCGUCUAACAUUUUUUAUUUUUACAACAAAUUUCGAGUGUUAAGCGAUUCUAACGUACUGUCCACCUCCAAUAACAAGCUGUUGCAACAAGCUAUGGAAGCAAAAUACUUCUUCCAUAAUUAACAGUCAAACCGGAUAUUUUUUGCGAGUAACUUUGCAAUGUGCGUCAAAUUAUAUAUUAAAGCGUCAUCAAUUUAAUGUGAAAAUUGCUCGGAUGUGCAAUUAUCUGUUCGAAGGGCAGAUUUAUUUUAUGAUAGGAUUGCAGCUCUAGUGCCCGGUAAUGUAGCAGCUUGAAUAAGAUUGUUUUUUAUUGGUCAGAGUACUAAUUGGGUAGCGAAGGUAGCAGCUUGAAUAAGAUUGUUUUUUAUUGGUCAGAGUACUAAUUGGGUAGCGAAGGUAGCAAACCAAUAGGAAGCCAGAGACUGUCAACAUUUACCUUUGAACUUCCGGUUUAUUUGUAAGAUGAACAAGCAACUGGCCAAGAAAUUGAGCAAAAAUAUAGCUGAGAAUACCCGAGUCUUUGUUUCUAAACUUGAAUGUAUUAAUAAAUCGUUCUGUGUAUGCAAUGUAAGUAUCAUUUAAUAAUGAGUAGCGUAAAGAUGUAAACGCACUUUUUGCGGCUUAUUACAGUAAAAGCAAGUAUUGUAUUGUUUGUCACGUUGUUAAAUUCGCUAAACUUCUGUGUGAAUGUGAUAGACUACCUGGCGUUCCCUCGAAACGUCGAAGUUUUGUCUAUUUAUUUUCAGGUAGGCUGUCACAUUCACACCAAGAUUUACGCAGAUGUUUUAUCGAAGAUUCUACCAGCGGUCAAGCGGCAAGCGUUCGAGAUAAAUUCGCUAAUAUUGCAUAAAAACACGAUGUAGUUAUAUUAUAUCUAUUUCACUUUAUAGAAUGUUUAUCUACAGCUGCACCCAAGACGAAAUACAUUAAUCCGUGUUCGUGUUGUCAGCAAGUAGUUGGAUAGUUUUUUCCACCGGCACAUAAUUUCGUGAACAAAGACGAGACAUAGGCCUAUUUUAAAAACGAUGUUGACAACAUUAUGUUGACAACAACAUACUGUACAGUAUUAAUGUUGUCUUUUUAUAAAUUAUAGUUGUACAUUUGCCUUUUUAUGUCAAUUACAGUAAACUUUAUUUCAAUUUAAUAUCGUGUGAUUUCACCACAUACUUGAAUCAGGUUGUUUUACAUUAUAUGAUUAUACUUUGUCAGUUUAUAUAAUUUUUAAACCGAAAUCCUCACAUGUAUGAUGUAUCCUCCGGACCACACAACUCACAAGUUAAACAUGUGUUAAUCAGAUACACAUGACACCAUUAGGUAGCCUUAUGGAGAUACCUAAUAGGAUAUGGAAACACAGCUAGUAGCUAUUGCAAAACUAAAAGGUAUAAAUUGUGAUGAACAAAAAUAAAAUAUAUAUGUUUCUCAUAGACAUAGGGAUGCCAGAGAGAGGGGCAAAUCUGCUCUUUUCUAAGGGGGCUGAAGUGCCCUUUUAAUGUAACGUG